AUCGAGAACAUUUUAUUGAGUACAUCAUUUAUGCAUCAAUAUAUGUGACCAUUAUAAGUCGCUAUAUAUGUUAAAAUUAAUGAGUACCGAGCCUUUCUCCGGCUUAGCUUAACUGAGUUCAAUAAGUAUUGCACAUUUGGCACAGACAAGACAACUGUUAAUUAUUUAGGCCUAAGCAUUGUACUGGGGUAAAUUUUCGGCAUAACAUUACAAACUAUCAAUGGCAUAAAGUUAGAACAAAUACUAAAUGAACAACAAGUGUAUACGAAAAUGGAGAGCGUAUAAAUGCAAGGAUAGGAAUGUACAGAAUCUCAGGAGUAAAAUAAUAAUAAUAAUAAAAAUAAAAUAAAAUAAAAAUGUCAGUGGGGAACAUUAUAUAAACUAUCAAUGGUAUAAACUUGAAGAAUAUAAACUUAACAUGUAUAAAAUAAUAAAGUAUAUGUAUAAAUGCAAGGGUAGCUAGUAAUGCAUAGGGCUUUAGGAGUAAAAAAAGAUAAUAAUAAUAAUAAGAAGAAGAAGAAAAAGAAGAAGAAGAAGAAACAGACAUAGCUGGGGGUGGCAACUUUCCUGGACACAAAAUAUUGGUCCAUCAUCUUUAAUAAACUGAAAUAAAAAUGCUGUGAGAAGGUCAUUUUAAACUUCUUUGUCAUCUUCUUAGAGAGCUUCACCUCAAAUUAGCCUCUACCCAACAACCAUUACUUAUCAUUCACGGACUGAUGUCUUUGUGCUAUGUAGAAAAUAUAUAUCAUCUACGUGUCGGUUUUGGCCUUAAGUCUUAUUUUUAUAGUGCAGGUUAUUCAUUUAUUCUUAUCAUUCAGGUGGAGAUACUUAAUGGGACCUAUGCAGCUAAGUUGGCCUCAAUGCAAAGCUACAAUAUCAUAAACCAGUGUAAAGGUAUCAAAUUCUACUGCACGCUUUCCUAUAUAAAAGUUGUGCGUUUGUUUUGGAAUCUAUUUUAAUCUUUUUCAUUCUGGCGGAGAUGCUUCAUGGGAUCUAUACAGCUGAGUGGCCUUAAUACAACUCUAUGGCAAUAUUAUAAACUUGUGAAAAGGUAUCAAAGUCUACUGUACGUUUUCCUCACUGUAAAAGUUGUGCGUAUAUUUAGGAAUCUAUUUAAUUUCCACUGUUCAGGAGGAGAUAUUUCAUGGGAUCUUUAUAAUGACCUUAACACAACUCUACGACAAUUUUAUAAACCAGUGAAAAGGUAUCAAAGUCUACCGUACGUUUUCCUCGCUGUAAAAGUUGUGCGUAUAUUUAGGAAUCCAUUUAAUUUCCACUGUUCAGGCGGAGAUAUUUCAUGGGAUCUAUACAGCUGAGUGGCAUCAAUAAACUCUACGACAA